rnacentral:rRNA from 1 species
UACGUAGGGUGCAAGCGUUGUCCGGAAUUAUUGGGCGUAAAGGGCUCGUAGGCGGUCCAUCGCGUCGGGGAGUGAAAAGCUGGGGCUUAACCCCAGUCCUGCUUCCGAUACGGGCAGGCUAGAGUUCGGUAGGGGAGACUGGAAUUCCUGGUGUAGCGGUGAAAUGCGCAGAUAUCAGGAGGAACACCUGCGGCGAAGGCGGGUUGCUGGGCCGACACUGACGCUGAUGCGCGAAAGCCAGGGGAGCGAACGGG